UUGCUUUGCUUCUUUUUUUGCUACCAUCUCUCAUGUGACCCUCUAUGAUGGAAUGUUUAUAUGGGGAAUGUGGAAGAAGGCAACGACAGCAACAAAAGACAAUUUCAGAGAUGUGCAUUCAAGAUUGAUGAAGAAGAACUAUCAAGCGGUACCUCUGACCCAGAUCAGAGGUUUAUUCUAACUUUUAAUGCCUCAGCUUCCUAAUCUCUCGCAUUCUCUCUCGUUCUUCUUCUCCUGCCAUCAGCUGCUCUUCCUUUUCAUCCUCCUCUCUCCAUAUUAGUGCUGAUUGAGUUUGCCAUCUCUGGCAAGUGGCAACCAUGCAACAACGUAUAUGCCGAGAUUAUGUUUUGGCUUUCUAGGCGAAGAAGAUUUACUUCUGGAGUUUGGUCUGAGAGGGAACAUUAUGGAAAAUAUGUCCUCAACUCCUCGAAUGGUAAUUUGAUGAUGUAUAGAAGCAAUACAACAUAUAACGGUAUACUUGAAGACUAUAAUAUUCUGGAGAAGAUAUCAUUUGUAAUGGUUAACUUUUGCAGCAUUUUUAAUAUAAUUUGUGAAAAUCUA